GGAGAGGAGGGGAGGGAGUCCAAGGCCAGGGAGCGACGGCGGGCCAGCACAAGGCGGGUAGGGGGUUUUGGGAAGGCAGCUGAAGACAAUCUCUGGCUAACCUUGGACCCACAUCUGCUUUUAUGAAAGCUGACGAGACCCAGGUCUCCGGUGACAGGGAGGAGCAAAUCUGACUUGGCCGUAAUGAUGUAAUGGAGGAAACUGGUGUUUUGUGGGUCCUUGAGAAAUGAUCCUGGGGCAGCUUAUAAAACUCAAGGAGGCUAAGGGACUCAUUUAUUGGCUGGUAUGUGUAAGAUGUUCUUACUUUUUCCGAAAAUACACCCAGUUACAGAGUUACUCAGUGUCAAUGGUCGUUCUCAGUUUCACCACGUCUGUUUGCUUCAUGUGAAGGUUGUUUUUUUGGACUCGUUCCACUGCACCUCACGAGCAUUGUGAUUCUUUCUGGGUGAUGCAUGCUGACCUGCGCUCCCUGUCCCAAGCCGCCCACCGGAAAUUCGGUGAGCUCUCAUCCCUUCGGCCGCGACCCAAACACCUGUCCGCUUCGCCGCUCCAAGUCCUGUUCCGGUUCCUGACCUAUGCACAUAAUUCCGGAAGGAUCUUUGGAGACAUGAAUUGUUGACUCAUCUGUAAUGAAGAUGUCAUCCAGCAGGCCUUUUUAAACAUCUCGUUUAUUGUUCUCCCUAUCAAGGCACACCGUCAUGGACAUUCAGCCGAUCGCCCUUUGCCUGAAGUCCAUUCUGUCCCGCGGGCCAUUUCUCUCGCUUCUGUGUUCCCUGUAAGUUUCGGAGGAACCGACUCUGCCCUUUUUGUUCUCCAACUGGGUUCACUCCCUAGACCAGUGUUUCUCAACUGAUGGCAACUGAUGGGGCUUUUGGGCUGUGAGACUAUUUUCAGUUGUGGAGUUUGUGGUUUAAAAAAAAUAAAAACUGUUUACCGUGGUCAUUGCCCCUGAGUCUCCCCCGGACUGCAACUUUUACCGUCACCAUCAUCCCUUGUCGACCAGUUGAGGCCAAACUCCCACUCCCCACACAAAGGGGUCACUGACUUGUAGGUUUUACCUACCAUGAAGUAUUAUGGGAGAAAGUCCCUGAUUAGGGUCU